rnacentral:rRNA from 1 species
CCGGCAAGAAUCAACCACCUCGCUAAACAGACCAAUUAAGACAAUUGCUUGCUCUGGAGUCGGACGAUUGAUGGAUACGCCUCGGUAGGGAGGCGUCGAUCGAAGAAUCUCCCUGAUAGCGGCAAAUCCGCUGCCUUCAAACUCCGUUAUUGUCCAGACACUACGGGAAUCUACAAGACCCGGCGUGCGCGCGAUGUGACUACAUAAGUUGCUCAUAUAUCGGAACCGGCUGUCCGGGCCCAUUAGAACCCUUUAAAGUAGCACUACCCCUAUCUAGUAACGUUAACAACCAGAAGUUGCUCCUUACGGAUCAUUCGCGCUCAGUAGUCGAGCGCAACUGAUGCAGGGACGGGAAACAUGUGUGGCGGGCAGCGAGGAUGGCUAACUUACC